ACGCUGGAAGGAUUACAUAUCUCGGCUGGCUUGGGAAUGCCUUGGGGUUCCCCCAGAGGAGCUGGGGGAGGUGUGUGUGGAUCGGGAGGUCUGGGCUACUCUGCUCCAGCUGUUGCCCCCACAACCCGGCCCCGGAUAAGUGGACGAAAAUAGAUGGACG